rnacentral:lncRNA from 1 species
GGGCGAUUUUUUCGGACUAUAUUCAUAUCUUUUGACUCAUCAAAUUUUCACCUCCUAGUUUGGGCAUGCAUUGAUGAUUCUUACCUGAGUCAAGUAUUAUUACAAUGGUUGUCAGAUGGCAAUCUUCUAAUUUCAUUUCUCCGUCUGCGCCCAUCAGUUGGCGUUCUACAAAAAUAUGGAGCCGUCGUGAGUUUGCGUCACCUUGUGCAAGAGCUGUGGCUAUGCUGAGCUUCUCCACAUAUUUCCAACUUUAGUACAUGGGCAGGUGAGGCAAGCACCACUCUUACCUUCGAACACCACACACACACACACACCACACACAUAUCACAUAAUACACACCCCACAUACCACACACACAACAUAACACACCACAUAACACACAUGCUACACAUGACAUCAUACAUCAUACACACCACACACACACCAAAUACACCACAUGCCACACAACUUACAUACCACAUCAUACACAUCAUACACACGACACACAGCACAUAACACCACAUGCCAUACAUCCUACAUACAUCAUACACACCAUACACACACAUCAAAUAACACACCACAUGCCACACAACCUACAUACCACAUCCUACACACCACACACACACACACCACACACACCCCAUAACAUACCACAUCACAUACCACACACGCCAUAUACCACAUCAUAUACACCACACACAAACCACACACACAAAGACAAACACCACACAUACCAUGCACACCUACACCCACAGACACUGUACACCAUACACCACACUGUACACACCACACAGCACAUACCACACCACAUACCACACAUUCCACAUACGACAUCAUACAUACCACACACUGCACAUAUUAUACCAACACAUCCUACAUACCACAUCAUAUACACCACACACAAACCACACACACAAAUGCAAACACCACAUACACCAUACAUACCUACACACACACACACACUGUAUACCAUACACCACACUGUACACACCACACACACACCAUACACACACAAACACACACACACACAAACUUCUGUUGAGGCUGUGCCCCCACCACUUGGAGCCACUACAUCUCCCUACCUCAACUGCUUUCCACUUGGUAGUCCUGUCUUCUGAAGUUAGUAAAUGCAGGCGUGAGGCAGGGAGGCGCUUUGGCUGAUCGGCAGAACCCUGGG